rnacentral:lncRNA from 1 species
GGGCAGUAGCCCGAGUGGCCAAGGCUGCUGCCCUCCAACUUGGAGGGCAGCAGUUCGAACCCCCACAAAAGUAUUGUGGGGGUAUUUCCUUCUUUAAUUAAUUUGAGUGAAUGUAGUCUUCUCCCUUACCCAUGAGUGAGGAGUAGACAUCCCUCGAAUAUUUGUGAGGGUUAAAAUCUGGGCAGAGCUCCAUUAGCAUUGAUGUCAGUUGGUCCCAAUAAUAGUCUGAUUUGUAAAUAUCAGUAAUAGUCUCAUGUAUAUGAGUUGUAAUCUGAGCAAUAGUCUCAUGUAAUCAAAAAAAAAAAAAAAAAGAGGAAAAGACUGACAAAAACAAAUAGUGUUGCAAUAGUUGCAAUAUAUCAUUGCUUUCAUCUUUUUAUUAUUUAACUAAAUGCAAUCCAUUUUGUUUUCAUAGUUAAAAAGAAACUAUAGGUUUCAAAUUUUUAUAUAUAAGUCUCGUUUUGGAUAAAAUGGGAUUUAAAAAGAAUCUUUUAACUGUUGACUUAGCAAUCACUCUUCUGACUCUUGAG